rnacentral:misc_RNA from 1 species
GUUUGAAACUCAGAUAUGGGUUUGGUCGACCAUUCAAAAAGCUUGAAUCAAACCAGGUAGAGGCGAACAAAUUUGCCUUGAUUUGGAAUGAGAUAAUUACAACUUUCAGAGAAGAAGAUAUUCUGAAUGACCGUGAGGUUGAGUUGUUGGAGCUGCCCCAGAACACAUGGAAUGUUAGAGUGAUUCGUUGGCCAUGUUUGCUCCUCUGCAACGAGGUGCUGCUUGGUCUCAGCCAGGCGAAGGAGCUGGUGGAUGCUCCUGAUAAGUGGCUCUGGCAUAAGAUCAGCAAGUAUGAGUACAGACGAUGUGCUGUUAUUGAGGCUUAUGACAGUACAAGGCAUUUGCUGCUGGAAAUUGUGAAAUUGAACAGCGAGGAGCAUUCCAUCAUAACAACCUUUUUUCAGCAGAUUGAUCAGUGGAUUCAGCUGGAGAAAUUCACAAAAUACUAUAAUCUGACUGCUCUGCCCCAGAUCCGUGGAAAGUUGAUUGCUCUUCUGGAUCUAUUACUUAAGCCAAAAAAGGAUGUUGACAAGAUUGUGAAUG